UACGUAGGGGGCAAGCGUUGUCCGGAAUCAUUGGGCGUAAAGCGCGCGUAGGCGGCCCGGUAAGUCCGCUGUGAAAGUCCAGGGCUCAACCCUGGAAAGCCGGUGGAUACUGUCGGGCUAGAGUCCGGAAGAGGCGAGUGGAAUUCCUGGUGUAGCGGUGGAAUGCGCAGAUAUCAGGAGGAACACCGAUGGCGAAGGCAGCGCGCUGGGACGGUACUGACGCUGAGGCGCGAAAGCGUGGGGAGCGAACAGG
rnacentral:rRNA from 1 species